CUCCGUAGGGUGAACCUGCGGAGGGAUCAUUACACAAAUAUGAAGGCGGGCUGGAACCUCUCGGGGUUACAGCCUUGCUGAAUUAUUCACCCUUGUCUUUUGCGUACUUCUUGUUUCCUUGGUGGGUUCGCCCACCACUAGGACAAACAUAAACCUUUUGUAAUUGCAAUCAGCGUCAGUAACAAAUUAAUAAUUACAACUUUCAACAACGGAUCUCUUGGUUCUGGCAUCGAUGAAGAACGCAGCGAAAUGCGAUAAGUAGUGUGAAUUGCAGAAUUCAGUGAAUCAUCGAAUCUUUGAACGCACAUUGCGCCCUUUGGUAUUCCAAAGGGCAUGCCUGUUCGAGCGUCAUUUGUACCCUCAAGCUUUGCUUGGUGUUGGGCGUCUUGUCUCUAGCUUUGCUGGAGACUCGCCUUAAAGUAAUUGGCAGCCGGCCUACUGGUUUCGGAGCGCAGCACAAGUCGCACUCUCUAUCAGCAAAGGUCUAGCAUCCAUUAAGCCUUUUUUUCAACUUUUGACCUCGGAUCAGGUAGGGAUACCCGCUGAACUUAAGCAUAUCAAUAAGGCGGAGGAA
rnacentral:rRNA from 1 species